CAUAUACCUGAAAGGAGAGAAGGUUAGCACUCCCCUUGAGAAGGAUGGAAAGGGCCCUAGUGGCCUUACAACACACACAUUGUUAAGGCAUUGCCGUCUACUAGGUGCUGUCUAACCAUGCUUUUAA